rnacentral:rRNA from 1 species
GACGAACGCUGGCGGCGUGCUUAACGCAUGCAAGUCGAACGGAAAGGCCCUGCUUUUGUGGGGUGCUCGAGUGGCGAACGGGUGAGUAACACGUGAGUAACCUGCCCUUGACUUUGGGAUAACUUCAGGAAACUGGGGCUAAUACCGGAUAGGAGCUCCUGCUGCAUGGUGGGGGUUGGAAAGUUUCGGCGGUUGGGGAUGGACUCGCGGCCUAUCAGCUUGUUGGUGGGGUAGUGGCUUACCAAGGCUUUGACGGGUAGCCGGCCUGGGAGGGUGACCGGCCACAUUGGGACUGAGAUACGGCCCAGACUCCUACGGGAGGCAGCAGUGGGGAGUAUUGCACAAUGGGCGGAAGCCUGAUGCAGCGACGCCGCGUGCGGGAUGACGGCCUUCGGGUUAUAAACCGCUUUCGCCUGUGACGAAGCGUGAGUGACGGUAAUGGGUAAAGAAGCACCGGCUAACUACGUG